AGUGAACGCUGGCGGUAGGCCUAACACAUGCAAGUCGAACGGCAGCACCGUACGUGUUUGCUCUUCCGGGUGGCGAGUCGCGGAAGGGUGAGGAAUAUAUCGGAAUCUACUUUUUCGUGGGGGAUCACGUAGGGAAACCUACGAUAAUAUAGCAUAUGCUCUUCGGGUGAAAGCAGGGGAUAUUUGGACCUUGCGCGAUUGAAUGAGCCGAGGUUGGAGUAGUUAGUUGGCGGGGUAAUGGCCCACCCAGGCGCGGAUCCGUAGCCGGUGGGAGAGGAUGGUCGGCCACACUGGAACGGAGACACGGACCAUACUCCUGCGGGAGGCAGCAGUGGGGAAUGGUAGACAGUAGGCGCAAGCCUUAUCCAGCCGUACCGAGUGUGUUGAAGAGACCUUCGGGUUGUGAAGCCCGUUUUUUGGGAAAGAAAAGCAGCAGGUUGAGACCCCGCUGGUCUGACGGUACCCAAUGAAUAAGCACCGGCUAACUUCGUG
rnacentral:rRNA from 1 species